rnacentral:tRNA from 1 species
GAACGUAGGGCUCAGCGGUAGAGCGCAUGCUUAGCAUGCAUGAGGUCCUGGGUUCAAUCCCCAGUACCUCCA